rnacentral:rRNA from 1 species
CAGUAGCCGCGGUAAUACGGAGGGUGCAAGCGUUAAUCGGAAUUACUGGGCGUAAAGCGCACGCAGGCGGUCUGACAAGUCAGAUGUGAAAUCCCCGGGCUCAACCUGGGAACUGCAUUUGAAACUGGCAAGCUAGAGUCUCGUAGAGGGGGGUAGAAUUCCAGGUGUAGCGGUGAAAUGCGUAGAGAUCUGGAGGAAUACCGGUGGCGAAGGCGGCCCCCUGGACGAAGACUGACGCUCAGGUGCGAAAGCGUGGGGAGCAAACAGGAUUAGAUACCCCUGUAGUCCCUGUCUCUUAUAU